rnacentral:rRNA from 1 species
CAGUAGGGAAUCUUCCACAAUGGACGAAAGUCUGAUGGAGCAACGCCGCGUGAGUGAUGAAGGUUUUCGGAUCGUAAAACUCUGUUGUAAGGGAAGAACACGUACGAGAGGGAAUGCUCGUACCUUGACGGUACCUUACGAGAAAGCCACGGCUAACUACGUGCCAGCAGCCGCGGUAAUACGUAGGUGGCAAGCGUUGUCCGGAAUUAUUGGGCGUAAAGCGCGCGCAGGCGGCCUUUUAAGUCUGAUGUGAAAGCCCCCGGCUCAACCGGGGAGGGCCAUUGGAAACUGGAAGGCUUGAGUACAGAAGAGAAGAGUGGAAUUCCACGUGUAGCGGUGAAAUGCGUAGAGAUGUGGAGGAACACCAGUGGCGAAGGCGACUCUUUGGUCUGUAACUGACGCUGAGGCGCGAAAGCGUGGGGAGCAAACAGGAUUAGA